rnacentral:lncRNA from 1 species
AGCUGAUACGAAAUGGUCAAUUGUUCUUUUAACUAACAAAAUAAUCGUCAAUAAUAUUGAUGACCAAGAAUAUGAAGAUAUUGAUGAAGAUGAUCCUUUUUUUUGGGACAUAUCAGUCGCGUGAGGAUGGACCAACUAUGAAUGAUGAUUUAUAUAUAAGAGAUGAUCACGAUGAAGGGCUUUGGGUAAAUCAAUAUGCUCCUCCAGACAAGGAUGACCCUAAAAGA